AGCAACCCGAGUAUGAAAGCAAUGGUAUACGCUGAUGUCAUGACAGUCUUGGUGGUGAGAGGAAUGCUGUACAGAGAUGUGCCUGUCCUGGAGGUUGGGUCGUUAGACGCUGAAACGAAGGAAUAACUCAGGGUGAUCGCCCGUCGUUUAUAGUUUUGGUUAACUAAACAAGACUCUUUCUUACUCUAUCCUAGAUGCAUUGGUUUGUGUUGGAGCCUUUCUUUAUGCGAUCCGUAAUAGGUAACUCAGGCUACCUCAAGUUAACAAUUAUCGGGAUUUUUGGACAAGCUGUUGCUAUGGUAACACAGGGU